GUCCACGCCGUAAACUAUGAUUACUCGAUGUUUGCGAUACACUGUAAGCGUCUAAGCGAAAGCGAUAAGUAAUCCACCUGGGGAGUACGCUCGCAAGAGUGAAACUCAAAAGGAAUUGACGGGGGCCCGCACAAGCGGAGGAGUAUGUGGUUUAAUUCGAUGAUACGCGAGGAACCUUACCUGGGCUUGAAAGUUAGUGACCGGUCCUGAAAGGGAUCUUCCAGCAAUGGCACGAAACUAGGUGCUGCAUGGCUGUCGU
rnacentral:rRNA from 1 species